UACGGGGGGGGGUAAGCGUUGUUCGGAAUUACUGGGCGUAAAGGGCUCGUAGGCGGCCAACUAAGUCAGACGUGAAAUCCCUCAGCUUAACUGGGGAACUGCGUCUGAUACUGGAUGGCUUGGAUUUGGGAGAGGGAUGCGGAAUUCCAGGUGUAGCGGUGAAAUGCGUAGAUAUCUGGAGGAACACCGGUGGCGAAGGCGGCAUCCUGGACCAAUAUUUGACGCUGAGGGAGCGAAAAGCCCAGGGGGGAGCAAAACGGGGAU
rnacentral:rRNA from 1 species